rnacentral:rRNA from 1 species
GACGAACGCUGGCGGCGUGCUUAACACAUGCAAGUCGAACGGAAAGGCCCUGCUUUUGUGGGGUGCUCGAGUGGCGAACGGGUGAGUAACACGUGAGUAACCUGCCCUUGACUUUGGGAUAACUUCAGGAAACUGGGGCUAAUACCGGAUAGGAGCUCCUGCUGCAUGGUGGGGGUUGGAAAGUUUCGGCGGUUGGGGAUGGACUCGCGGCUUAUCAGCUUGUUGGUGGGGUAGUGGCUUACCAAGGCUUUGACGGGUAGCCGGCCUGAGAGGGUGACCGGCCACAUUGUCACUGUGAUACGGCCCAGACGCUUACGGGAGGCAGCCGUGGUGAAUCUUGCGCAAUGGGCGGAAGCCUGAUGCAGCAACGCCGCGUGCGGGAUGACGGCCUUCGGGUUGUAAACCGCUUUCGCCUGUGACGAAGCGUGAGUGACGGUAAUGGGUAAAGAAGCACCGGCUAACUACGU